AAAUAGUACAGUAGCUGCAAAUUUGAAAAUUCAAACUCCCAGUAAUUCGGAAAACACGUUCCGACUGUUUUUGAGGUUUGUUCGGAAAACGUUUUCCGAGCGAUUUUGUCAGAAAAGGGUUACGAAUGACAGUCUACAUAUAGCAUGGAUAUAAAAAAAAAACAACGGUUCAAACUAAAAUUUACCUGGAUUUGGAGCCUCCACGAGUAUUGAAACGUCUAUGCAAGGUUGCAAUCUUGAUUUUGAGCCAAAAUUCGAAGGAAACAAAAUUUUUGUUGGGUGAGAGUUUUAGAUGGAGUGAUUAGGUGAAUGAGAGAAAGCUGUAACGUUCUGGUAUAAAACCCAGUCGUUCGGAAAACGUUUUCCGAAAAAAGAGCGAGC
rnacentral:lncRNA from 1 species